rnacentral:rRNA from 1 species
AUACAUGCAAGUCGAACGAACUUCCGUUAAUUGAUUAUGACGUACUUGUACUGAUUGAGAUUUUAACACGAAGUGAGUGGCGAACGGGUGAGUAACACGUGGGUAACCUGCCCAGAAGUAGGGGAUAACACCUGGAAACAGAUGCUAAUACCGUAUAACAGAGAAAACCGCAUGGUUUUCUUUUAAAAGAUGGCUCUGCUAUCACUUCUGGAUGGACCCGCGGCGUAUUAGCUAGUUGGUGAGGUAAAGGCUCACCAAGGCAGUGAUACGUAGCCGACCUGAGAGGGUAAUCGGCCACAUUGGGACUGAGACACGGCCCAGACUCCUACGGGAGGCAGCAGUAGGGAAUCUUCCACAAUGGACGCAAGUCUGAUGGAGCAACGCCGCGUGAGUGAAGAAGGGUUUCGGCUCGUAAAGCUCUGUUGUUAAAGAAGAACGUGGGUAAGAGUAACUGUUUACCCAGUGACGGUAUUUAACCAGAAAGCCACGGCUAACUACGUGCCAGCAGCCGCGGUAAUACGUAGGUGGCAAGCGUUAUCCGGAUUUAUUGGGCGUAAAGCGAGCGCAGGCGGUCUUUUAAGUCUAAUGUGAAAGCCUUCGGCUCAACCGAAGAAGUGCAUUGGAAACUGGGAGACUUGAGUGCAGAAGAGGACAGUGGAACUCCAUGUGUAGCGGUGAAAUGCGUAGAUAUAUGGAAGAACACCAGUGGCGAAGGCGGCUGUCUGGUCUGCAACUGACGCUGAGGCUC